rnacentral:antisense_RNA from 1 species
CUUGACCGAGCCCAGCCACAGCGGGUGUCCGGGCGAGCGGUCCCGGCCGUAGGUGGCCAGCAGGGCCUGGGCCUC